AAAUCUCUGCUGCUGCCAGAGACAGGCAGUGGCAGCCAGCACUGCAUCCCCUGCACACACCCCUCGCUCCUCAGACUCCAUUUCCUGGUGAUUUCCAGGUUCAUCACUGCACUUUGCUGCUUCAAGGGAGGAGCACAAGAGCUGGGAAUGGAGUGAGGAGCUCUUGGAGACAUCCUGGGGCAGCAGCACAGACAUCUGGAGACCUGCACAGUCCCUCUGCUCACCAGGGGCUCUGGAACCUCCUGGAAUCCCAGAACAUUUAGGCUGGCAAAGACCUCGAGGUCCAUCGGUCCAGCCUGUGGGGCUCCGGGGUGUUCCAGUGAGAGCCCAGCGCUGAGCUCAGCCUGGCAAGGCCGGCCUUGCAGGCAGCACUCAGGCAGCAGCAGCACCCUGUGCCUCCAGCCCGGGGUUUGUGCUGCAGCUCCUGCUGGAUCCCCGCUGGAUGUGGCCGCGUGUGAGGCGAUGUCCGCGGGCUCCGGGGGCAUUUCCCACCCCCAGCACAGCUCCCCCCACUGGGAACCCCAAAGGCAGCGCAGGGCUCUGGCAGCCCCUCCUCCUGCCCAGGGGCUGCUGCUGACGGGCUCCUCCCCUCCGGCACCUGCGGGCAGGGAGCAGCUGAGCCCAGACCAAACCCACAGCGGGGCGGGAGCGGGGCUAAGGCAGCUCCUGGGCUGCGGCUGCUGCAGGAAUGGGACCCAUCUCUGGUGACUCCCUCGGGGCUGUCCCCUGCUAAUGGCCAUCAGACCCUCUGCGUGAGCCAUAAAUGACAUCAUCCCCGGACAUGCUCUGCCCAGGGGAGGAACCGGGCACUCCUGCCCGGUAUCGCUGAGCUCCGGCACCUGCAGCACCGUGCCUGCCGCAUUCCCAGAGGAGAGGAGCUCCACGGUCACCACGGGACCUUCAGAGGAGGAGCAGAGCCUUCUGCAGGGUCACCUCUCCAUCAGAACCACCCCCGAGGGCUGCAGCCACCUGAGCUGGACUGGUACCACGCCCUGACCGACAGGCUGCCAGGUUGUAUCCUGACUCUGGCACUUUCAGCCAGGGCUUUCUGCCUUUAUUUUCAUUUUCCUAUUGAAUUGUGGUUCUGCUUGGGUUGCUUUCAAACUGGUGCACGUUUUGGCUCCCAGUGUGAGGACAGUCCUGAGAGAAUCAGAAUUACAGUUCUGUGUCACAAACCCCCCUGUUCCCCACGGUGCUCCCUUGGCUCCCGUGCCUUGCUCUCUCUGUUUCUCUGCACAGGGGGAACUCCCUGCCUGCUGUAAUGCUCUGCUGGGACCAGGGAAUGGUUUGAAAAUGGCUUUAUUGUUUGUGGUGUCUGCUGCAUGCCCAGGCAGGUGAACUGGAAAGAGGAACACCUUCCACAGGAACCCAUCCAGAGCCAGUUCUGUCUCGUGUACAGAACUCUGGAUGGCACAGGAAUGAUAACAGGACUGAUUCUCUUGAAGGGACCCCAGGAGGGGAGCAGCGUGUACCUGACCAGCAUUGGAGGGGCCCUGCCUCUGGCCAGGGGGAGGACAGGGGCACUGGGAUCUUUGGACUGUGUGGAUCCUUGGCCUGGACCUCUGACCACAGAGAUCUGGUCUCAGCUCUGGUGGACACUGAGGCCAUGCAGAUAGGUGGGAGUGGAGCCCCUUUGUGUUCCUGGGGGCAGGAGGAGCCCAGCAGCUGCAGGGGUUUAACUGGGACCAGGGGCAGGAACGCCCCACCGUGCCUGGCCCAGAGGCCCCGAGCACCCUGGGCCCAGGCUGUGCCAGAAAUGGGCAUUCCAGAUUCCCCAGGGACACCGCUGGGCUCGUGGGGGAGCUGCUGUGGGGACAGAGGGCAGCAGACCCCUGCACACCCUGCCUGCCCUCUCAGCUGGGCCCUGUGCUGGGGCUGCUGGGAGCUGAGAACAGCAGGGACACAGGUACACAAUUCUUCUCAGAACAGGAAUGUGCUGAACAACACCUCAACAACGAUAAAGUGCUGCGCUUUUUUUUUUUUUUUUUUUUUUAAUGAAAACAAAAUAAAAACCUAAACAAGA